UAAAUAAAAGAAGAUCAUACCGUCCCAUACAUUAAAAUAUUUAAAAUGCGAUCGCCUAAAAGCGUGCAAAAAGUAGAUGGCGCCACUAAAAAUGCCUUGUUGCCAUCGAUCUCACUUUCAAGCCAUUAAUCUAUAUUGAGUGACACUUAACGCCGUCUAUAAGUAAAAUCGAUGGCAACAAGGCAUUUUUAUUGGCCCCAUUUACUUUUGCACGCUUUUAGGAGGUCGCGUUUUGAUGGAUGGGGUGGUAUAAUAUUCUUAUAUUUAAUUUAUGUUAUGACUUAGGUAAUUACUUUUUACAAUCCUUAGGAUAAACGCAUCUCGGCGGGUCAACAUCCGUGUU